AAUCUUUAUUUGAAACGCAUAGCAACGAACGUAUGAGCAUGAAUUCAAAAUGAAUGACAUAUACAUGGACUUAAGUUAUUUAUUUCGCUUUAAUUGUAAGUCCAUUGUGGCAUCGUUUGGAUAUCAGUUCGAAUCUACCGCCAUCGUGCUUAAAAUGAACCGGAGUGGCGUCUUCUAAUCCGGUCCAACAAAACUUCGUUGAGACACACGGAACAAUCUUUUAUUAUAACAACUAAUUUAAUCCUUGUCACUGUUAACACGGCAAAGACGAAGGAGACUGGGUGUCUUAUUCCACUUUCCGAUGAAUAUCGGACGCUGUCAGCUUUCACUGUGAUCACAGAUACAGAAUAUCAGUCCAAGAAUGCACUUUCUAUAUGGGCAGUGUUCAUACAGAGGAUAUUAUAGACAUCCGAAAAGAACGUUUGUUUGUACAUUAGAAUACACAUGUACUUAGCUGUCACAGAAGUGUUGUUUGCGUGUCUGUAUUGAUGUCUCAAUGACAGGUUAUUACGCUAUUGAUGAUG